GACGAACGCUGGCGGCGUGCUUAACACAUGCAAGUCGAACGCUGAAGCUUGGUGCUUGCACUGGGUGGAUGAGUGGCGAACGGGUGAGUAAUACGUGAGUAACCUGCCCUUGACUCUGGGAUAAGCCUGGGAAACUGGGUCUAAUGCUGGAUAUGACAUGCCACUGCAUGGUGGUGUGUGGAAAGGGUUUUACUGGUUUUGGAUGGGCUCACGGCCUAUCAGCUUGUUGGUGGGGUAAUGGCCUACCAAGGCGACGACGGGUAGCCGGCCUGAGAGGGUGACCGGCCACACUGGGACUGAGACACGGCCCAGACUCCUACGGGAGGCAGCAGUGGGGAAUAUUGCACAAUGGGCGGAAGCCUGAUGCAGCGACGCCGCGUGAGGGAUGACGGCCUUCGGGUUGUAAACCUCUUUCAGCACGGAAGAAGCGAGAGUGACGGUACGUGCAGAAGAAGCGCCGGCUAACUACGUG
rnacentral:rRNA from 1 species